rnacentral:misc_RNA from 1 species
GCUCCGUAGGUGAACCUGCGGAGGGAUCAUUACCAGAGCUGGCGGGCCCCCGCGCCCCCGUCCCCAACCCUUUGUUGACCAAACCACUUUUGCCGCGGGGGCAGCGCGGCCUCCGCCGCCCCCGGUCGACCAUUUAACCCUGUCUCUGUACGUCGGAGGCUUCGAUAAAUAAAUGAAAACUUUUAACAACGGAUCUCUUGGUUCUG